GUGAGUCAUCGAAUCUUUGAACGCACAUUGCGCCCUUUGGCAUUCCGAAGGGCAUGCCUGUUCGAGCGUCAUUAUCACCCCUCAAGCCCCCGGCUUGGUGUUGGAUGGUCAGGCGUCGGCCCUUUCAGGGCCUGUCGUCCCUCCCAAAGACAAUGACGGCGGCUUCGUUGUGACCCCGGUACAAUGAGUCUUUUUAGACACGUACUGGACAAGGACACGCGAGACACGGUCUCCUCUCCCGCAAGGGAGAACCCUUUAUCUCAAGGUUGACCUCGGAUCAGGUAGGAAUACCCGCUGAACUUAAGCAUAUCAAUAAGCGGAGGA
rnacentral:misc_RNA from 1 species